GUGUCAUUCUUUAAGGGUUGAGCCCUGCCCCCGUCCUUUCCUGUCACCUAUUCAUACAAUGAAAUAUUGCAUAGCCAUGAGAAUAGAUAACUUCACAGAAUAAUAUGCAUGAAAUUCCCAAGCAAAAAAUCUCAUCAGUGAAGCUGGAUACAAGAGAGCUUGGUAUGAGGAGGUUCUGGAAGGGAACAAGGUAACAGGCAAGGGGCUGGAGAUGCUGCACAGAUUAAGAGACCUAAUCCCCACUUGCAUGGAGUUUACACCCACGUCCCCCCAUAACAUUCCUGUGAAGUAGGUAGAGAAGGCCUGAAGGGGGAAGAGGAAGGAGCAGUUACCAGAAGGUGGGGAGAGAACCAUUGCUGUGGGAGAGUAUCACCAGACAAAAGCUGUGGAGCACUUAGCCACUGCUAACCCAUGACACCAGCAGGGAGGAAGGCUGGGCAAUAAAUACC